GGUGACAGUAGCAGUGUCCUAUGUAGUGGUUUUGGCGCUGUCUAGAACUCAUCAAAGCUGUUAAUUGUUCUGGCCCAUAAACAGGUAAUGUUAAUUUGAACACCCCUGAAAAUAGAAGAGAAUAAUGGGAGACGGUCCGCCUUUUCCAAUGACAGAUAAGCCAAAGUUGCCUACCUGCAAAACCCAGGCACUUUGGCUCUAUCUAUGGAACUAUUUGUAAGAAAGAAGCCUUUCCUGCCGCCUUCUCCAUGUCCUGUCUUUCUCCUUCCAUGGAGUUUCUUCUGUCUUGGGCUCCUCUACUUUUCCUAUUUUAACAACUCCUUAAAUCCAACUCCUCAUUGCUUGUUGCUCUGAACUUUGAAGGAGUGAGAAAGAGAGAGUCCUAGAAAGCUGAAAUUGAUAUAUAGACAUAAAGAAUAAGAAGACUACUGGGAUUGAGAGAUACAGAUCCCCUGCACAAGCAGUUCCCCUGGGUUUCCUCUAGCAAAUUACCUGUGCUACUUUUGAACUGAGAUGGAGCUUGAGGCUGACUGACUUCUAUGAUUUCGUCUCGGAAUAUUGUUCUGCCUGGCUCCCUGAAUGCCAUCUAAGAAGCUUGUUAAAGAGUGUUGACAACCUUCCUAUUUGGCAUGAGGGGAGUCAAGCAGGCGAAACACUUGGUGAUCAUGAUGUCAAGCGCAUUUCCAUGGAGGCAUCACCUCUUCCAACUGAUCAAAAUCUGUAAUUUUCUUUCCUCUGUUCUUAUCAUACAGCCAAACACCUUAUCCAUUUUGCCUUCUCAAAUAAACUAAAGGUGUAGCAACAAUCAGUAGUCUUAAAAAUCCCAAAGAACUGUGACCAUUCAUUUUCCAAUUUAUUCUUCAAAGUA